rnacentral:rRNA from 1 species
AUGCGGUGCCCAGGAAACGCACCGGGGGCAUCUUGGUCAAAUCCACCACAAACUAGUUUCUUCUCCUCCCUCCCCCUUCCCUCCGGCGGCUCCUCCCCUGCCCUGCUCUGCUCUGCUUUAUAUAAGAAGAGCGGCCUCCUCCUUCACAAGCAGUCAAGCACACACACCAAAACCAAAACUCCAGCACCUCACACAGAGGCACAGACACAGAGAGAGAACUGCCUCGAGGUCCCAGCUUGGAUCCGGAGCCUCCCCUCUUGGCGGCGCCGGAAGAGAACUCCAAUACAGAAUAAGCACUCAAAGCCUCGGGGAAUGCUGAAAGAUGUGCUUGCUUAG